UGCCGACGUGGAUAACAGUAUCCCUAUACUCUCUACACUCACCAGUUUUAGCCUUCGCCAGCACCAGCUUCAGAAUAGCCUUAACAUCGGUAGCCCUGCACCCUGUCUGAGGCUGGAACCCUACUGGCAGCACUUGACUACAGCCUUUGUAACCAUCAUCCAACCUUGGAGAACGCAUAGGGCAACAUGAUCUAAAGAAGACUCUACAAUAGCAAGCUUCGAAGGUGAAGUGUCUACGCAUUGAAAACUACAAAGGACUACAUUGACAUCCCAGAGCUUCAGAGAGAAGUGUUGAGAAGACUGGGCUCUCAAUUGGGGCUACCAAGGAGAAUGAUCCUGUGAUCAGAUGACCCAAGACUCCCUGAAGUGCCACACCAACAAUGGCUGAGCUGCUACAACUUCGAGAAGUCACCACGCAACACAGGGUGCAGUAAGCUGGGAAGGACUGGAGAUUUCCUUGCUGUCAGAUUUGGUGGUUCCCGGGAGGUGUGAAAAUAUACAGAGUACUCAGAAUUGUUGUUAAAAGUGGUGGGCCUA